rfam:Stegodyphus mimosarum contig41102, whole genome shotgun sequence.
GCCUUCAUGGUGUAGUGGUCAGCACGCUGGGCACCUAUUCCAGAGGACCAUGGUUCGAUUCCUUGCGAAGGCG